rnacentral:rRNA from 1 species
GCAAGUCGAACGGUAACAUGAGGAGCUUGUCUCUUGAUGACGAGUGGCGGACGGGUGAGUAAUACAUAGGAAUCUAUCCAGUAGUGGGGAUAACGUGUGGAAACGCACGCUAAUACCGAAUACGCACUACGGUGGAAAGAGGGGGAUCUUCGGACCUCUCGCUAUCGGGUGAGCCUAUGCCGGAUUAGCUAGUUGGUGGGGUAAUGGCCUACCAAGGCGACGAUCCGUAGCUGGUCUGAGAGGACGAUC